CAACAUGCAUAUCAAAACAAAGAGGGUCACUAGAGUUGAGUUGAACAAGAGACUCAGGCACAAAGAACAACAGAAAAAAGAAGCAGAAGCUAAGAAGUUGGAGGACUUGUUGAAAGAAAUUGACAGCAUACCUGAAAUUAUGGAGGAAAUCAAGCAAGAAGAUGAGGAAAAGCAGAAGAACAUGCUAAGAUAGGUUAAAGGCACGGCCACCACGCUUAGGAAAGCACAAUGUUCAGUGAGCAUUACACACUCCUUUGCGCAAUUUAGAAACAAAGAUCAAUAUCAGUAUGAAAUAUCUCCUUAGCUCUCCACUUUUUGCAUUCAAUCUCAGCUGCCUAUCCGCUAGGGAAGACCAUUAUCAAAAUGACAAAAUACGCAUUUUACUUCUGGCAUUUUGUUUCGGAGAUAUCAUUGUCUUGAAUU